rnacentral:rRNA from 1 species
UACGGGGGGGGCAAGCGUUGUUCGGAAUUACUGGGCGUAAAGGGCUCGUAGGCGGCCAACUAAGUCAUACGUGAAAUCCCUCGGCUUAACCGGGGAACUGCGUCUGAUACUGGAUGGCUUGAGUUCGGGAGAGGGAUGCGGAAUUCCAGGUGUAGCGGUGAAAUGCGUAGAUAUCUGGAGGAACACCGGUGGCGAAGGCGGCAUCCUGGACCAUUAUUGACGCUGAGGAGCGAAAGCCAGGGGAGCAAACGGG